GUGUUGUAUGAAGGGAGAGGUGCUCCCCUUGGCAAGCAUGGGAGAUGGAAGAAUGGAAGAGGCCUUUGGGCCUGACAACACAUAUGGUUAAGGCAUUGCCACCUACUUCACAGCAUGUAAGUAAAGAUUAUAU
rnacentral:ncRNA from 1 species